CAGCAGCCGCGGUAAAACGUAGGGUGCAAGCGUUAAUCGGAAUUACUGGGCGUAAAGCGUGCGCAGGCGGUUCGUUAAGACAGAUGUGAAAUCCCCGGGCUUAACCUGGGAACUGCAUUUGUGACUGGCGAGCUAGAGUAUGGCAGAGGGGGGUAGAAUUCCACGUGUAGCAGUGAAAUGCGUAGAGAUGUGGAGGAAUACCGAUGGCGAAGGCAGCCCCCUGGGCCAAUACUGACGCUCAUGCACGAAAGCGUGGGGAGCAUACAGGAUUAGAUACCCCUGUAGUCCCUGUCUCUUAUAC
rnacentral:rRNA from 1 species